CAGGGGCGCGCGCCCGUGGGCGGCUGCGUCACGUGACCCAGGUAAUUGGCACGGCGCGCGCGCAGCCCUUCCGCGCAGCCCCCUGACCUGCAGCCUCCGGACCUCGCUGCAGCGCGGACCCCGCCCGCCCGCCCGAAUGAGUCAGCUGAGGCUGCUGCCGUCCCGUCUUGGGGCACAGGCUGCAAGGCUCUUGGCUGCACAUGACGUCCUGGUGUUUGGCUGGCGCAGCAGGUCCUCCGGGCCACCGGCCACCUUCCCAAGCAGCAAAGGUGGAGGCGGCUCCAGUUACAUGGAGGAGAUGUACUUCGCCUGGUUGGAAAACCCCCGGAGUGUCCACAAGUCCUGGGACAGCUUCUUCCGGAAAGCCAGCAAGGAAGCCUUUUCUGGCUCUGCUCAGCCACGGCCCCCUUCUGUUGUCCAUGAGAGCAGGUCUGCAGUCUCAAGUCGGACCAAGACCAGCAAGUUGGUGGAGGACCACCUGGCCGUGCAGUCCCUGAUCCGGGCAUACCAGAUCCGGGGUCACCAUGUGGCCCAGCUGGACCCCCUGGGCAUUCUGGAUGCAGACCUGGACUCCUUCGUGCCCUCAGACUUGAUCACAACCAUUGAUAAACUGGCCUUCUAUGACCUGCAGGAGGCUGACCUUGAUAAGGAGUUCCAGCUGCCGACGACCACCUUCAUUGGGGGCUCUGAAAACACCCUCUCUCUGCGGGAGAUCAUUCGGCGCCUGGAGAACACCUACUGCCAGCACAUUGGCCUGGAGUUCAUGUUCAUCAACGAUGUGGAGCAGUGCCAGUGGAUCCGGCAGAAGUUUGAGACCCCUGGUGUGAUGCAGUUCUCCAGUGAGGAGAAGCGGACACUGCUGGCCCGGCUGGUGCGCUCCAUGAGGUUUGAAGACUUCCUGGCCCGGAAAUGGUCCUCGGAGAAGCGGUUUGGCCUGGAGGGCUGUGAAGUGAUGAUUCCUGCCCUCAAGACCAUCAUCGACAAAUCCAGUGAGAUGGGGAUCGAGAAUGUCAUCUUGGGGAUGCCACACAGGGGAAGGCUGAACGUGCUGGCCAACGUGAUCCGCAAGGACCUGGAGCAGAUCUUCUGCCAGUUUGACCCCAAGCUGGAGGCGGCGGACGAGGGCUCCGGGGACGUCAAGUACCACCUGGGCAUGUACCAUGAGAGGAUCAACCGCGUCACCAACCGGAACAUCACUCUGUCGCUGGUUGCCAACCCCUCCCACCUGGAGGCAGUGGACCCUGUGGUGCAGGGGAAGACAAAGGCAGAGCAGUUCUACCGUGGAGAUGCCCAGGGCAAGAAGGUCAUGUCCAUCCUGGUUCAUGGGGACGCCGCCUUUGCUGGCCAGGGCGUGGUAUAUGAGACCUUCCACCUGAGCGACCUGCCCUCCUACACUACCAACGGUACCGUGCACGUCGUCGUCAACAACCAGAUUGGAUUCACCACAGACCCCCGAAUGGCCCGCUCCUCACCAUACCCGACUGACGUGGCCCGGGUGGUCAAUGCGCCCAUCUUCCACGUGAACGCCGAUGACCCAGAGGCUGUGAUAUACGUGUGCAGUGUGGCAGCCGAAUGGAGAAACACUUUCAACAAAGAUGUUGUCGUGGACCUGGUCUGUUACCGCCGGCGCGGCCACAAUGAGAUGGACGAGCCCAUGUUCACCCAGCCGCUCAUGUACAAGCAGAUCCACAGACAGGUGCCUGUGCUGAAGAAGUAUGCAGACAAACUGAUUGCCGAGGGCACAGUCACCCUGCAGGAGUUUGAGGAAGAAAUUGCCAAAUAUGACCGGAUCUGUGAGGAGGCUUAUGGCAGGUCCAAGGAUAAAAAGAUCCUGCAUAUAAAGCACUGGUUGGACUCCCCCUGGCCUGGCUUCUUCAACGUAGAUGGGGAGCCCAAAAGCAUGACGUGCCCAGCCACGGGGAUCCCUGAGGACAUGCUCACUCACAUCGGCAGUGUGGCCAGCUCUGUGCCCCUGGAGGACUUUAAGAUCCACACCGGCCUCUCUCGCAUUCUGCGGGGCCGUGCGGACAUGACCAAGAACCGGACGGUGGACUGGGCAUUGGCAGAGUACAUGGCCUUUGGCUCCCUGCUGAAGGAGGGCAUCCACGUGCGGCUCAGCGGGCAGGAUGUGGAGAGGGGCACGUUCAGUCACCGGCACCACGUUCUCCAUGACCAGGAGGUUGACCGCAGGACGUGUGUGCCUAUGAAUCAUCUCUGGCCUGACCAGGCCCCGUACACCGUGUGCAACAGCUCCCUCUCGGAGUACGGAGUCCUGGGCUUUGAGCUGGGCUAUGCCAUGGCCAGCCCCAAUGCCCUGGUCCUCUGGGAGGCCCAGUUUGGGGACUUCCACAACACGGCCCAGUGCAUCAUCGACCAGUUCAUCAGCACCGGCCAGGCCAAGUGGGUGCGGCAUAACGGCAUUGUGCUGCUGCUGCCCCAUGGCAUGGAAGGCAUGGGCCCAGAGCACUCAUCAGCGAGGCCCGAGAGGUUCCUGCAGAUGAGCAAUGACGACUCGGAUGCCUACCCUGCAUUCACCAAGGACUUCGAGGUGAGCCAGCUCUAUGACUGCAACUGGAUCGUGGUCAACUGCUCCACACCGGCCAACUACUUCCACGUGCUGCGCCGGCAGAUCCUGCUGCCCUUCCGCAAGCCGCUGAUUAUCUUCACACCUAAAUCUCUGCUGAGGCACCCAGAGGCCAAGUCCAGCUUUGACCAAAUGGUAUCCGGGUGCUUCUCAUUGUACCCCCGUCUCCGGUCACCUUAAACGUGAUGCUUCCAGGGCUCAACCCUUGGGUGUCUCCACCCCUCUCCCUAUGACAGCUCAGGGUGUCAUCUGCCCCCUGCUCCAUUUUUUAGUUCAAGAGGUGUCCACUGCAGCCACAGGUCCAAACCUGCAGUUGGUGUCAGUGGCUAAGGAGAGCCUGGGGAUGCAGGCCUGGUCCUGAGCUGCCCCAGCCCCUCUGGGUACCAACACCUCUGCCGUGUCCUGUUGGUCCCUCAGGGACCAGCUUCCAGCGGGUGAUUCCUGAAGAUGGGGCCGCAGCACGGGCCCCUGAGCAGGUGCGGCGGCUCAUCUUCUGCACGGGAAAGGUGUACUAUGACCUGGUGAAGGAGCGGAGCAGCCAGGGCCUGGAGGAGAAAGUGGCCAUCACGCGCCUGGAGCAGAUCUCUCCAUUCCCCUUCGACCUGAUCAAGCAGGAGGCAGAGAAGUACCCAGGUGCGGAGCUGGCCUGGUGUCAGGAGGAGCACAAGAACAUGGGCUACUAUGACUACAUCAGCCCACGCUUCAUGACCAUCCUGAGGCGUGCGCGGCCCAUAUGGUAUGUUGGCCGGGACCCAGCGGCUGCACCAGCCACAGGAAACAGGAACACUCACCUGGUGUCACUGAAGAAGUUUCUGGAUACUGCCUUCAAUCUCCAGGCCUUUGAGGGCAAGACAUUUUAGAGCUGGGCAAGACCUGUGUAGGUCUUGCUGUGGGUCGGCUGGGGACCAAGGGGGUGAUGAAAAGGGGAGGGGCGGAGCUCCUGCCCAGGAGAGGGGCUGCGGGGGCCCCAGGAUAAAACAGACUCACACAGUGACAGGGCCAAAGAGCCAGCACUGCUGGCCUUGGUGUCAUGCCAGAAUCUACCAGGACUGAGGGAGCCAGAGGAGUCCUAUAGGCAGGCUACUGUGCUGGGGCAUCCCCCAGCUGCUCCCAUCUUGCUGGAAUUUCUUGGGCGGCUUCUCCACCUGUGUCUCAAGACAGACACCCGGGGGCCUGUGUCUGUGGCCGCUCCCAUCCUGGCAGCCCUGGCUGCCGCUCGCCCCACCCUCACUCAUCUGUAGAUUCAAAGCGAUGUUCUCUUCUGUGCUCUUAUAAGUAGGGAGUUCAGCAGUAAUAGCCAGGUGAAGUGAACCUGCUGGGUGAUGUGUUUGCGCUCUGUUUUAUGGGGCAUUCCUGCGAGAUGUGUGAGCUUCUGUGUGAAAUGCAGCCACAGCUCGUGUACCAAAGUAGAAAACCAAAUCACAGAGAAAUAAAAACAUGCUUCAGAGAGA